UGCACUGCAGAUAAGCUCAGCCGCUCACCAAAAAAUGUUGGAUUUUUGCCAAGCUGGUUUGGAAGAUAUUUAAAGAGAUGCAAAUGAUGCUGGAGCAUCAUUUUCUUAUCCAACACACAUAAUAAUAUUCUGCACACUAGACCAAGCACAGAAUCAAGUCAUGCUGCUGUUCCUGAUGUUGACUUUGUCCUCACUGGGCCACUCGACUCCUCUCUUUAACACGUCCCUGCCACUGGACUGUGAAGAUGUUUAUGAUCUAAAGAUAAGCGUAAUGGAGAACGCCUCUGUUCCCAGUGGAGUGUACACCAUUUACCCAGCAGGGCCUAAUAAACCUGUGAAGGUGUACUGUGAUAUGGGCUGCCUGGAAAAUGGUGGCCACCAGGAUGAGCAGUGAACAGUGAUUCAGAGGAGAAUCAAUGGCAAUGUGAGUUUCAAAG